UUAACACUGGUUAGUUAACUUUAUUCCCAAAUGGAAUUCUGUAUUUCUUUCUUCUCUUUCUUCAUUUUCUUUGAUUUUUCCCAUCGUAAAGCUCCUUCCUUCCUUCCUUUCCUCCGCCGUAGCUAAACUUCGAACCCCAUCCGACGCCACCUUCAGCAUCACCACCACUCCUCAUCUUCCAUACGACGCCACCAGUGAGCUGAGCUCUGACGACAUGGAAGAUCGCCGCCGCCUGCCAACGGAGUGGCGACCAACAGAAGAAGAAGAAGGAGUAGUCCGUCUCCCGUAAACAGAGUCCCUUGCGAACCGACGGCUGACGGAGACUGGCCAGCGGAGGCGACCGAAACCAUGGAAAUUUGGUGACGUGGCUUCGGGCGAACGAUUCUCUCCCUGAGGUUCGUUCUGGGCUCCGUGCGGUUUGCUAUAGAUCAGGAUGUGUUGUUGAAUUUUGUUGGAGAGACGUUGAAUCAGUGUUUCUUCGUAAGUUGGUUGUCUGACGUUACGCGCUGCAAAAUCAGCGACAAUCUCUGGAAGGUAUAGCUUUUCUUUCUUUGUUUUCAUAGGUGGCGAUUCAUUGAAAGAAGUAGGUGAAGUCUAGGUUCAAAGGAAAAAACAAGCGAGGGAGAGUGAAAUAAUGGGAAGUAGGGUGUAUAUGGGUUGGCUCAGUCCCCUUUUCAGGCAAAAAACUGAGCCAAUCCGGGCGCUGCAGGUUGGGACUUGGGUGGGAAGGAGGGAGGGAGAUGUGGAUGGAUUUGGGUGCUUUUGAGGUGUCUAGGAAAUGUGGAUGUGGAUGUGUAGUAUGUAAUUAUCAUACAGAUAUGCUGCGGAUGAUAGGUUUGCCAGGAGAAUUGAAUUCUGUGAAACUUCAAUCACUGGGAUUGGGGCUCUGUCUCUAUGUUUUAUGAGUCGCCUGAAGAGGCAAAACCAUAGUGGAAUGGAGAUGAUGCACUGAGAUGGCAAGCCACCAGGAAAGGUUGCUUGACAGUCGAGUCCUUUAACCACAUCUUAACUUUGGCAACUAGGGAGAAUUGAAAACCAAAUUUACUUGGAGCAUGAGUGUAAUAUGAACAUCGGUUGUGCCGAUGGAUACAUUAGUUAAGUGGUUAUUUUCUUUCGCCCUGUGGUCUGUGGAAAUUAAAAAGAAAAGAAUCACAAGAAACACAGAGUUUGCAAAAGUUAUUCAGUAGAAUAGAGACAAAGGCACAAGAAGCUAAUUGUCAAUUCUGAUUUCUGAGGCGUUCGCAACAGUUUAGGAUUUUCUUUUUAUACUUAUGUGCCAUAGCUUUUAUGAAGGAAAAUGACCGAGAAGCUGAAACUCCUGGAUGCUUCUUGAAUGUUUGAGUGAACCUGAUUGAUGAAAGAUAAACUUCUGAGGUACCAAUAAUAUAAUUGGAAUGAGCAACAUAUAGUUUCUCAAAUUAGUUGCUGUUUUUGUUUAGUGUUGUUAGAGCCAUAUUAGUUUGAGUUUUAGGUGGGAUUUGCAUCUAAUUACAGGAUGAUUAUGUAUUAAUGAUCAUUACUUGGAAGUUUAUGACUAGUAUAUUAUACAGGACCUGCGAGAUCUUGAUCUUUUAGCUACUCAUUCCAUUAGUAGCUGUAUUUUGAUACAGAAAUAUUUCUACUGCUGGCAAGUUGAUGCUGAUUUCCCCUUGAAUUGCCUGUUUGCACAUAGAGAAAUUCUGACUCUUUUACUUAUAAUUUUUUCUCCUAACAAGUAACAAGGCUUAUUUGCUUUUUUCAUAUAAGGCAAAGCUUGAUUUGGACAGCCUUGAAGUUCGAGUUGGGUAAAACUGAUUUUCAGUAACCAGGUGCAUUUCAGAUAUGUUACUUUAUUUUCUAAUUAAGAUAAUUAGUAUUUUCAUUCCUAAUUAGUAAAUGAUUUCACAUUGUACUUUAUUUAUAUUAUACCUUGAUUGAACAGCUGUGUGAUUGUUGAGGAAGGGCACAUUAUUGCAGCAGGAAGAAACAGGACUAAUGAGAAGCAGAAUGUAUGUCUAUGAUUGCUUCUCCACCCCUUUAUAUAAGUUUUGGCCAGCAGCACUUUGCUGUUCUUCUAAAUUGAUACCCUCACAUUAUCCACUCGCAGUUAUUGUUGAUCUUUUUUGUGUUUCUGCCUUAAAUAUUUCUUUAAUAUAUGAUAAAAUAGUAUAUCUGAACAAAUCUGUUAAAAAGUGGAAUUUUCUAUGCAUUAUUAGGCUGUAAAUGGUUUUGUUCUCAUUAUUCUUUCAUAAAGUAUAACUACGGCUAACAAUAGCAAGAAUCUUGCUUUACUAUGUACAUUGUUUCACGUUUCUCGUUUGCCAUUGAGCUCUGCCUGAAUUUUGGACCGAGAACAGUCAAAGAAAAA